AUUGAACGCUGGCGGCAUGCUUUACACAUGCAAGUCGAACGAGUGGCGGACGGGUGAGUAAUGCAUGGGAAUCUAGCUAAUGGAGGGGGAUAACUACGGGAAACAGUAGCUAAUACCGCGUACCAUAGGAUGAGCCCAAGUGGGAUUAGGUAGUUGGUGGGGUAAAGGCUCACCACGCCGACGAUCCGUAGCUGGUAUGAGAGGAUGACCAGCAGAACUGGGACUGAGACACGGCCCAGACUCCUACGGGAGGCAGCAGUGGGGAAUAUUGGUCAAUGGGGGAAACCUGACGCAGCCAUGCCGCGUGAAUGAAGAAGGCCUUCGGGUUGUAAAGUUCGUUCGGUAGCGAGGCGUUAUCUACAGAAGAAGCACCGGCUAACUCCGUGCCAGCAGCCGCGGUAAUAC
rnacentral:rRNA from 1 species